UACGGAGGGUGCGAGCGUUGUUCGGAAUUAUUGGGCGUAAAGCGCACGUAGGCGGCUUUGUAAGUUAGAGGUGAAAGCCCGGGGCUCAACCCCGGAAUAGCCUUUAAGACUGCAUCGCUUGAACACGGGAGAGGUGAGUGGAAUUCCGAGUGUAGAGGUGAAAUUCGUAGAUAUUCGGAAGAACACCAGUGGCGAAGGCGGCUCACUGGACCGUUGUUGACGCUGAGGUGCGAAAGCGUGGGGAGCAAACAGG
rnacentral:rRNA from 1 species